rnacentral:antisense_RNA from 2 species
AGUUAUGACGGCUGUACGUGGGAGGCAUUCGUGCCUGCCGGUUUUGCCUGCUGAUCCGGUCGACCAACCUGCGUACAGCUGUCACCUAU